rnacentral:lncRNA from 1 species
UUUUGAUGCCUUGAGAAUCAGUGUGGCAUAACUCUCUGAUGAUGAAACUGACUUUUAGAACUGACUGGGAGGCGUGCCUCAAGAUAAUGAUUCGGGGCACAGGGACUAUAGAUACAUCCAGGGUGCAGAGACAGGCUGCCAUUUAAAAAUCAUGGGUGUUUAUUGCACAAAUUUUAGAAAACUCAACAACAACAACAAAAUUCUUAAAAUGUACUAAUUCUAAUCUCUUCCCCUCUUUCAUGUAGUUCUAUGUUUUAAAAAAUCCAGAGAACUGGUUCCGCAUCUUUGAGCACAUACUGCUCGGUUCCCAGCACCCAUACUGUGCUGCUCAGAACCACUCAGGAUCCAGCCUCAUGCUGUCCAGUGCCUUCUCUUGACCUCCUUGGGCACUCACAUACUUGCAAAAUACACGCAUGGAGACAACAUGUAUACACAUAAAUCAAAAUAAACCUUUUUUAAAGAACUACAAUGCAUAGGCUAUUUCUAACCUGAUUUUUGGUUUCUUGGCUAUAUGCACCGCAUCCAUUAAUUCCUUGGAGGCCUUACUGUGUUACAUUCUUGAGUGCAUCUCUCAGUGAGAAUCAUAAGUGAUAAGCCCAGGUAUUUUUCCAAAAAUACUUUUAUUAUUUCAUGCUCAAUCUUCAAUUAUAAGUUAGCCAGAUAUGGAAGGCAAUUUUCUUAAGUAUGUUACAUUUUGUAUUCUGAUGCCCUGCUGAUGCAAAGUCUAAGGUACAGUGAUACCUUUUGUGUCUUUAAAAAUAGUUACUUUUGAGAGCUGUGCUUUUCCCCUCUCAAAGCAGAUUUUUGAAUUUACUUUGCUUAUAAACCAAAUGCAUUAAUUUUUAAGGAACAAUUUUAGUAUACAAAUUAGGACACAAUAAAUCACUGCUUAAAGUUAUAGGUACUUGUGGAGUAGUGUCUUCAUGUUAUAUGUGGGAUCGAGUGUUUAUUUUAUUUUCUGGAGACAGUAUUUUGAGUUACAUUUAAUUCAGAGCUCUACAGUGUCGUAGACCAGUGCUGGCCAGUAGAGGUUUCUGUGGUGACAAGAAUGUUUUGAGCACCAAUGUCUGAUAAAGUAGCCACUAUUCACUGUACACUGAAUGUUAAUGGGACUUUUUACACAUCUGUAUUUCUUUUCAGGUUAGUGGAAGCUUUGGAUUGGUGAAUUGUAGACAAUAGUAAUUUAAGACAGCUUGUUUGGCUUACAGAGUUUGGUUUAACCAAGCAGCAUAGUUUCACAACUAUGUUGAGGACUAUAGCAACUUAACUUGUACAUUUAGUUUAUGGAGAUAGUUUUUACCUUAUAGUCGUUGUUUUAGUCUUCCUAAGUGUUUCACUAAAGCUACUGUGGUGGUCUGAGCUUACUUGCUUAUAUAUGAUUUGUAAUAUGUAACCACAGGACCUACUAAGCAGUGGAUUAACAAUGCCUUCUGUUUUUCAGAUUGCAAAUAGAAGAAUCUUCGAAACCUGUAAGGCUCUCACAACAGCUGGACAAAGUUGUGACAACCAAUUACAAGCCUGUUGCUAACCAUCAGUACAAUGUGAGUCUUCUGCUUGUCUUUCAUCAGCAUCCUGUUCCUCUCAGUGCCACUUGCAGCUUGCUGUGUGACCCAUGCUAAGCAUAGCUGUGUGGGAGAAGGGAGCAACUUUCCUAAUUGCUCUUGAUCAGGUUUUACAAAGUGAUAAUGGUAUUUUCUCAAUGUUUCUAAUCACAGAAUACUUCAUAAAUAUAAAUUUGCUACAUUUUUGUUUUCUGUAUCUCUAUGGUUUGUUUACCAUACCAGUUUUAAUAUGCCAACAAAUUUUUAAAGAUCAUAUAUAAAUAUGUACAACUAUGUGUCAGUUUUUAAAAAUUAUUUGAGAAUGUUAAGGUUCUGGAACAGUGGUAGUUGUCGUCACGAGUUAUCAAGGUCAUGCUGCUUCACUUGAGGUGUCACAGCAUCUUUAUGGUCCUCCACUACUAUGCCACGUGAGGACUGCCUGUGUUCUUAAGCCUUCGUUAAGUAAAUGUAUAGGACAGUGUAUGCUAGGGAUGUAAAUAAUGUAUAGGACAGUGUAUGCUAGGGAUGUAAAUUGUCUUAUGUAUGUAAGCACAUUAUAUUCUGGUUACUUUUGUGAGAUCUUCAUUAAAACGGCUUGUCUUCUUCAUUCCUGCCUUUUGAACUGUAACUACUACUAUUACCCACGAGAGUAAAAUUGAUCAGUCCAAGUAUUCAGACAAGCAGUCUGGCUUAGGACUUGUACUCACAAACUAGUUUGAUGUCAGCUUGCUAGAAGGGAGAGUCACUUGAGAAGCAGGAGCUUCAUUUGGGAAAAUGCCCCCACUAGACUGGCCUGUGGGCAAGUGUGUGGCGUGUCUUCUUGAGGGAUGGUGUGGGACAUCCUUAGUGCUCUAAGAAGGCAGGCUGCGCAAGUCAUGGGGAACAAGCCAGCAAGCACCAGUUCACUGGUCUCCUCAGGAGUCUCUGCCCCAAGUUCUUGGAUGAUGCACUGCAGUUUGUAAAAUGAAAUAAACCCUUUCCUCCCCAAGGUGCUUAGGGUCCUGGUGUUCUAUGUUUUAUCGCGGCAAUAGAAACUCCCAACUGAGAGAGGAACCAAAUGUUUAACUACUGUGUAUGUUGCUGUGGAACACCAACAGUGCUUAAAGAGCCUGGCAAAAUGUGAUGUGUUCCUAAAGAGAAAAGGAAGUCUGAACAACAGUUGAUAAAUAAGUGUUGCCUAAUUUCAUUUGGUCUAAGUUUGGAGAAAAAUAAUAAAACCUCUCUAUAAAAUGGGCCUUACGUCCAGGCAGUAGUGGCACACGCCUUUAAUCCCAGCACUUGGUAGGCAGAGGCAGGAGGAUUUCUGAGUUUGAGGACAGCCUGGUCUACAGAAUGAGUUCUAGGACAGCCAUAGAGAAACCCUGUCUUGAAG